UGGUGACCUGUCAAUAUAAUGUCAGUUCAUUCAUGUAUUCGCGACACAUGAUUACGUUCGACUUUACUGCAAUUCUUGCACUCCUGCACAGUGAAAACAGGAUAACCUGAGUCUUCAUGGUAAUUAUGAUACAAGAGCAACGAUAAAUAGAAACGUGUUUUAUCUUUCAUCUGUAGAAAGAAGAAUGCCACCUGCUGUAAUUUAGACUUGCAGUUGAUACGUUUACGAAUUACGAUAAAAUGAAGCCAAAAAUAUUGUGGCCACGAAUGAAAUCAAAUGUUGGGUUGGUAAAAAAACAAGAUGGGGAAUAACUGAGAUAUUCAGAAUUUGUUUAAAUUAUUGUACAUGAGUAUACGUGAUAAUUAUAUGUGUGGCUAACUAUGAUAUGAUAUGACUCGAAGGACCAGCUCUCUCGGCUGAAAUGAUCAAUUUCGCGAGCAACACCAAAAUUGUCUAUAAUGGGUAGAUCACCUUAAUUAGUCGCAACGGAUGACCAAUUUUUCAUCAAAAAAAUGGGACACCAACAAGUCUUUAACGUUAUGUUUAAUAACUCUAAUAUUUGGUACUACUUAUUAUUUACAAAGUGUACAAGGAAUUUGGUUGAAGGCGAUAGGUCUGGCUAUGCUCCUCCGUCCUGAGGAUUUUAGUGGUAAUAAUGAACAAAAUGGAACUUCACAAAAUUCAGAGGCUAAAAUAAUACGUAUGUUGAAAAUAAUUUGACUGCUUAUUUAAACUUACUGUUACAGGAGUGGUUAGAAACAUUGGGAACACAUAGACCAAAUAACCAAAAAGCAAUUAUUUUUCUGUUGUUAACUUUCUUAGAUCUGAAUCCCAUGGAUUUUAAUACUCGAUGUAAAGUAUUUAAACUUGCUGUAUAUUCUGGAUGUUCUUUCGCAAAAAUAAACAAAUCCUGAAGAGUAAAAAACUCA